rnacentral:lncRNA from 1 species
CAAACUCCAGUCUUCUCCCAAGCUAGCAAUUUUUUCUGCAGGCCUUGCAUGGUGUGGUCUUGAUUCCUGUUGAAGGCACACUGGAU